AUUGAACGCUGGCAGUAGGCCUAACACAUGCAAGUCGAACGCGAAAGUCCUUCGGGAUGAGUAGAGUGGCGGACGGGUGAGUAACGCGUAGGAAUCUAUCCUGUAGUGGGGGAUAACGUUUCGAAAGGAACGCUAAUACCGCAUACGCCCCACGGGGGAAAGCGGGGGAUCUUCGGACCGCGUGCUAUAGGAGGAGCCUGCGUCGGAUUAGCUAGUUGGUGAGGUAAAGGCUCACCAAGGCGACGAUCCGUAGCUGGUCUGAGAGGAUGAUCAGCCACACCGGAACUGAGACACGGUCCGGACUCCUACGGGAGGCAGCAGUGGGGAAUAUUGCGCAAUGGGCGAAAGCCUGACGCAGCCAUACCGCGUGUGUGAAGAAGGCCUUCGGGUUGUAAAGCACUUUCAGUGGGGAGGAAAAGCUGGUGGCUAAUAUCCACCGGCCGUGACGCUACCCACAGAAGAAGCACCGGCUAAUUCCGUGCCAGCAGCCGCCGUAACAC
rnacentral:rRNA from 1 species